rnacentral:misc_RNA from 1 species
UGGCUCACGCAUCGAUGAAGAACGCAGCGAAAUGCGAUAAGUAAUGUGAAUUGCAGAUUUCAGUGAAUCAUCGAAUCUUUGAACGCACCUUGCACCUUUUGGUUAUUCCGAAAGGUAUGCCUGUUUGAGUGUCAUUAUAAUCUCACAUUGAACUUGAUUUACGUCGAGCUUCAAAGGUGGAUGUGGAGGUUGCGGGACUCUUAACAGAGAUCGGCUCUUCUGAAAUGCAUUAGUUGACUGCACCGUGGUUCAAGCGCUUCAGACGUGAUAAUUGUCAUCGUUUGAAUAAGCCUUUUACAUUAAAUCGAAGUCUGCUUCUAACCGUCUCGACUUGAGACUGCUCAUUCUGAGUACCAUAAUGACUAUUGUGACCUCAAAUCAGGUAGGACUACCCGCUGA